rnacentral:misc_RNA from 1 species
GAUGAAGAACGUAGCGAAAUGCGAUAAGUAAUGCGAAUUGCAGAAUUUCCGUGAAUCAUCGAAUCUUUGAACGCACAUUGCGCCCCCUGGUAUUCCGGGGGGCAUGCCUGUUCGAGCGUCAUUACAACCCUCAAGCUCUGCUUGGUAUUGGGCCCCGCCAGUUCUGGCGGGCCCUAAAGUCAGUGGCGGUGCCUUCCGGCUCCGAGCGUAGUAAUUCUUCUCGCUCUGGAGACCCGGUUGUGUGCUUGCCAACAACCCCCAAUUUUUUAAGGUUGACCUCGGAUCAGGUAGGGAUACCCGCUGAACUUAAGCAUAUCAAUAAGCGGAGGA